rnacentral:rRNA from 1 species
AAAACUUACCAGGUCAAGACAUGGGCGUGAUUGACAGGCUAAUGACUUUUCUCGAUUCCAUGGAUGGUGGUGCAUGGUCGCACUUAGUUGGUGCAGUGAUUUGUCAGGUUUAUUCCGGUAACGAACGAGACCUCGGCCUUGUAAAUAGCUAUGCUGCUUACAGGGACAUUGGCGGCUACGCCAAGGAAGCUCGAGGCAAUUGCAGAUCUGGAAUGCCCUUAGAUGUCCUGGGUCGCACGCGUGCUACAAUGACGCCACGAACGAGCUUGCGUGAUGAAAGUUACGCAUAAUCAGCAGUCGGCGUCUUAAGGGAUAGUCUCUUGUAACUGUGGGACUCCAACUAGGAAUGUCUCGUAAGCACAAGUCAACAUCUUGUGUUGAUUACGUCCCUGCUCUUUGUACACACCGCCCGUCGCUCCUACCGAUCGAGUGUUUAGGUGAAUUUGAUGGACGUAAGGAAGUCAAAUAAACCUGAGCACUAGAGAAGAGAAGUCGAGAUC